UACGUAGGGGGCAAGCGUUGUCCGGAUUUAUUGGGCGUAAAGAGCGUGUAGGCGGCCUGACAGGUCUGCUGUGAAAACUCGAGGCUCAACCUCGAGAUGUCGGCGGAAACCGUCUGGCUAGAGUCCGGAAGAGGAGAGUGGAAUUCCUGGUGUAGCGGUGAAAUGCGCAGAUAUCAGGAAGAACAGCCCGUGGCGAAGGCGGCUCUCUGGGACGGUACUGACGCUGAGACGCGAAAGCGUGGGGAGCGAACAGG
rnacentral:rRNA from 1 species